AUGAAGCCCCACUUUGUGGUCAUUGCAGCUGUAGCUAAGGAGGGUACCCGUCAGCGCCAGCUCACUGCUUGCCUAUGUAAUCAAUCUAUAUUUCCAACCUUUUUGUUUAUGGCUCUCAUGGAGAUUCACGAUGUAGUGGUCGCACUUCAAAACACUUCAGCCACAACAUCUCAGUUCCUAGAGGAAAAAGGCAUGUACUCAGAUGAUGAAGUGCCUGAUCCAUUCUAUAGUGGGCAUUCUGAUGAAGAUUCAGCUGAUGAUUGUCGUCAAGACGUGGACGACGACUAUGAUCACUAUGUCCGAUCCCCAUGA
rnacentral:rRNA from 1 species